rnacentral:rRNA from 1 species
CAUCUAAGCACGAAACUUGCCCCGAGAUGAGUUCUCCCUGACCCUUUAAGGGUCCGGAAGGAACGUUGAAGACGACGACGUUGAUAGGCCGGGUGUGUAAGCGCAGCGAUGCGUUGAGCUAACCGGUACUAAUGAACCGUGAGGCUUAACCUUACAACGCCGAAGGGGUUUUG